CAGGAAACUUCAGAAUGGCAGUGAGGGUUGCAGGCAAGCUGGAGCCAACAGAAAGGCCCUCACCAGCCACAGGGCUUGAACCUGGACCUUCUUGCUGUGAGGCGACAGCGCUAACCACUACACCACCGUGCCACCCCAUAGAGAGAGAGAGAGAGAGCAUCUAUCCCUCUGAGUUACAUGUCGGUCCUGGGAUCGAGAUGCUGACCUCUUCUGCUGCUCGGACCUGCCUGAUCCAUCCUGGUGCCCUGUGUCUGGUUGGAGUCUCAUCGCAUCGCUCCUGUGGAGGACGGCCCCAUAUGGACACUUGAAAGUCGCACUUGGAAGACGCUCUGGACACUUACAGUAAUGCUUUU